GGCAGCACCACAUUAGCUUCUGUUGUUCUUCAUAGAAAGCAAACGAUAAAAAAUUUCUUUUCAGUUUUUCAUCUCACAAGGAAAAGAAAAAAUAAAGAUAGAAGCUUAGGAAGUGAAAACUUUAAAUACAAGAUUAUUAAAGCAUGGGAAGGUAAUUUUUAAUUUUUUUAUUCUAGCCACCUUAGCUAAUUUUAAUUUUUACUAGAAUAUUUUCUUGUUUAGUUUCUUAACCCCCUAUAUCUCAUUUACGCUCUCUUUCGUAGUGUAGUCUUCUCUUCAUUUUUUGUGGAAUGUUUUCGGCGAUUAAAUCUGAUUCUAUUCUAUAGUAAAAUCCCAAAGUUUCAUGGGAUGGAACUUUAUCCAGGCAAUGGUGCAGAGGGGUUUUAUUAAAUGUUACUGAAUUUUUAUUGAUGUAUGGUUUGUGAAUAACCCAAGAGAGAUAGCAUGAAUGAUGACUGAAACUGUAAUCCAUAUGUUGUUUCAUCUUCGGUUACAUAAAUAAAGAAUCUUUCAAACGAGCUACCAUGGUCCGCAGUUCAAAUAGUAGUUUUAUAUCUCCUUGUUUAUUCAAUCGUUUUCCCUAUAUGAUUAGCUCACCUAACUAGUCUGUAGAUAACUUAAAUUUGCCCAUUUCUGUCUCUUUUUGCAGUACACUGCAACAGAAUACAAAGCUCUGUUUUACAAUGGACAUAUAUGUGUUUGUAUGUUGUUGGAUAAUCUUAGUGCCUACAAUACAAAGCUGGUGUUUUUCAUCUAAAUGUUAGUUUUGUUUAAUGUAUUUGUUCUGAUUUUUAAGAGUUUAUAGUGUCAUUUGUCCAUCACUGUACUAAUAUUUCAUGAGAAAUUAUUCAAUGUGAUACUCUUUUCUAUGGAUAAAAAAAGGAGUUUAUUCUAGAGAUGGUUGGAGUAGGCUAGUCAAUAACCAAAAAAAUCAAAAAAUCGAACCAAACCGACAAGAAUCAAACCGAUGGUUAUUUUCUUUUUAUGGUUUGGUUUGAUUUUAGAAAUUCAAAAACCGACUAAAUUAGUUUUGGUUAUGGUUUUAAUCACUAACCGAUCCAAACCGACCCAUGAACACCCCUAAUAAGGAUAAUAAAAUUGGUACUUUCUCUAUUCCAAAUUAGUUGUCAUGUUUCAUUUCUUUCUAGAGUCAAACUAUUUGAACUUUUACUGACAUUUUAAAAUGUAUAUUUUUUUUCAUCAAAUUGACAAGACAAAAGUUGCAAUAGUGUAGUAUUUUCAUAUAGUUUUUAAAUAACUAAAUUAUUAAUCGUAAAAAUAGAGUUGAUCUAAUCCAAUUUGACUUCUAAAAUUAGACGAACUAACUCUAAAAAAGCACAAAAAAUGACAAUCAAUUUGGAAUAAAAUAAAUAUACUCAAAAGAAGUAUAAAAUGCAAACUAAACAAGUUUACAAUAUGCUGAAAGAUUUUACCUUUGGGUUAAUUGAUCACUUCUUUAUAGGUGAGAGUCCCAACUAUAAACCUUUUUUCAUUGAUAAAAGUAUUGGAAAUUGGAAUUAGUUCGACUAAUUGAGAUUUACUCAGUGAACCAAAAAAAAGGUGGCUUUGAGCUACACCAUUCAUGUUGAUGGAAGUUGGAAAAAGUUGCAUGGCCCUCCACUACAGCUCUUUUUUUAUGUUGGCAUGUCAAUUGUGUUAAAUUUUGGCCACUCUUCGAACUGUCUGUGCCAAAAUGUUUGGCCUUUCUACUUCAAUACUGCAAAGCCACGAUCUAACUUUGCGUUUAUAUCUAAUGCUUCUACCAGCACUUAUUAAACUACUAUAGAACGACAAAGAAAUUGUUAGGGGAAAAAACAUUUAGAAUGUCAAGAUAAGACAGAAGGACAAUUGUUCCAUGCUAUAAGUAUGGGCCAGGUACAAUUCCCGGCCUAUCAUGUAAAGUCUAUAUAUUAGUAUGUGUGGAUGUAUAAACAGUGUAAUUUUAUGUUGAAAGAGGUUCAGAUGAACCCCUCGAUCCUAUCUGGAUCCGCCUCUGAGCGUAUGUAAGUUGAUUUUGUUUUUGUACUAUAUUUAGUUAGGUUGAGAUAUUAUAUACGCAAAUAUACUUAUUAUAGGCGCGAGGUAUUUCAUCAUUAUAAUGAGCGUGAGUAAAGUGUAUUUCGCCACGGUUUGGAACUAAAAUACUGCUAUCAAUGCAUCAUAUUUAAGAAAAAUCUCACUAUCUUUUACAAAUCUAGACACAAAUAACCCCAUUUACAAACAAAAAAAAAAUCUUAAUAUGCAAAGAUGCUCCGUCGGACACCGUUGACGGAAGCUUUACCUUUCAGCUUAUGUGUUGGGGAUAAGAGGCGGUAGAAAACACGAGCAAAAUGAAGAACGACUAAAUAGGAGGAUCCAACUUUAGCAAAAUAUUUUAUGGUCUAGUCACAAUAGAGAAUUGAGUUUCUUUCUUUUUUCCAAUUCUCUUAAAUUGGAAUCGUGUACUUGGAAAUUCAGUACUUCAUAAUAACAAUUGAAGCACAUUGUGCUUGUGAGGUACCAUAUUAACCAACAUAAGGUAUUUUCUAGUAGUUUAUUCUGUAGUUCAUUCUUUCAUGAACUAUUUAAAGUGCAGAAAAGAUCGUUAAAAAUAAUCAAAGCGUAAUCACUCAAACUAACCAGUUUUUGUCAUCAACAUGUACAACAACAACAAUAUAUUCAAUGUUUUUCCACAAAUUGGGUUUUGGCGAAGGUAGAAUUCCAUAGCGCGUUCAACUGCCUUAGAGGUAAGGUAUAAAGUUGUUGUAGAUCCCGGGCUCAAAGCAAAAUGGCUAAAAACAUAAUAUACGAACAAGAAAUAUAGAUAAUAGUAAUAGAUUGAACAGCAAGAAAUAACAGAAACAAGAGCACUACAAAAUAAUACUACAAUCGAUCUACCUGAAAUAACAAACAUCACCCAAACUCCAAAAACAAGAAACCACAAGGGUAGCACUAGGACUAUUAAUACGGACCAAAAAAAUGUUUUUUGAUUAACGUGCAAUGCAAAAAACUUAUUUUCCGUAUUUAUAAUUUGGGUGAGGCAAUUUAUGCAUUAUGCAGUAGAUCUUAGUGAGCAGGAACAUUGCCCCAACUUAAACCACUCUUUCUUUCUUCUUCAAGUUGUUGUUUUUUGCCUUUAUAGAAUGUGGCUUUUGACCACAAAGAAAAAGGACGGGCAGACUAUGAAUGGUCCACAAAAAUUAGACUUUGGAGCAUGGAAUCUGUUGGUGUAUAUGCAUUUUAUUAUUAAAUUAAUAUAUUAAGUGUAUAUGUUAAUGUUAUAAAUUAUGUAUUAUGAGUAUUAUUACUUACAUCUGUAAGUGGAAGAAUGUGGUCAUGAGUUUCUUGAAAUUCCUAUAACUACUAAGUCUUUAUUUGCCCAUUAUACUACUUAAUUAUGUUUGUAACUGUGUAACAUCCAACCAUUCAUGUCUCCACUUUACUACACCACAUUCCUCCUAUUCAAUAUAAGGAUGGAUACCUCACCAAUAAAUAGUGGUGUUUUCUUCCUUUGUGUUCAUAUAUUAGAGAUACGAAAAAGAUGAUAAGUGUAGAAAAAUAUUAUUAUGUGUAGUAGUGAAAAAGAAAGUUAAGGCAUACAAAAAUAUUCUAAGUCUUCGACUAUAUUCAUUAUACAAAAGAGAGUAGUUAUAUUAGUGAAAGAAAGAGUUGAAACAAAGAAAAUACUCUAAGGGAUCAUUUGGUAGUGUGUAUAAGAAUAAUGCAAAAUAUGUUGCGUUAGUAAUGCUUGUAUUAGUUAUGUUUGUGUUAGCUAUGCUUGCAUUAGUUAUGCUUGUAUUUCUUUUAUGCAUUGUUUGGUUUGAUGUAUUAAAAAAAACAUGAAUUAAAUAAUUUCUAAAAAAAAAAUUCUUUUUACAAAAAUAUCCUCCAAAUAUAUGUUGGAAAGGAUGUGAUCUUUCUUUUGAGGGAUAAUAGUAUCUUUAAUUAUGUUAAUGCAUGCAGUGGAUCCUUUGCGUUGCUAAUACCAUAGAUUUUUAGGUAUUGGUAAUAUACACUUCAAUACACAAUAGAGUAUAUAUUAGUUAUACAUAAGGUGAAAAAGUAUAUCAAACAGGUAUUAAUAGUACACAUUAAACUAAUACAUGCAUUAACUUUUCAAUACAAUCUACCAAACGACCUCUAAGUUUUUAACUAUAUUCACUAUACAAAGAGAGUAAAUAUAUGUUGAAGGAAGGUGUUCUUGGUGGAGAUUUGGACUCUUCAACUAAUCCGGAGUUGUUUGAGUUGUACAUCGUUGAUGGGUUGUUGUAUCCUUGAGGGGACAAGUCACGAGAUAUACUGCUAAAUCGGUGUAGAUUAUACCGCAGGGGCUUAAAUCUCUUUAAAGAAAGCGAGAUAUUCACGCCUCAGCCAAGAAGAAGAUUAUUUUAAUUUUUUUAUUUUUAUUAAUUUUAUUUCAACUGUAAUCAUUUAUUGUAAUUGUGGUAAUUACCCCAACAGAAUCUAUUGUAGCCCACUUAGUGCAAAUGCCCAUAUCAAAUCAAUUAAGGAUCGUUUGGUAGAGUGUAUAGGAAUAAUGCAUUAUAUAGUGUAUUAGUAAUAUUUGCAUUAGUAAUGCGUGUAUUAGUAAUAUUUGCAUUAUACUUCUAUUAGUUACGCAUAUAUUAUUUCUUAUACAUUAUUUGGUUUAAUGUAUAAAAAAUAAUAUAUCUUACAUAAUUUCUAUAAAAGACGUAUUUGUUUACAAAAAUACCCUUAUUUGACUUUGUACACUUUUCUUACAACAAAGUUCUUUUGUCAUAUCAAACAUAAUUACAAUUGUUGAACUAGUAUAUAGAGAUUUAGGAUUAAUUGCAAAACCUUCGUCUUUGUGCAUUAAAUGUUACACCGAUGGAUUAACAUGGUCGAAACAAAAAUAAAAUACAAGAUGCUCAAGAUUUUAUUUUUUUUAAUCUUUUUAAAGACCCUCGAAGCAAAACAAAAAUAUGUUGCAAUUAUUUAAAUCAACUAUUCAUUGUUGUAAAUUAAAAUGGCGGGAAAAGAAGUUGUGAAAUAUUUUGAGAGGGAAAUUGAGGGGUAUUAAGGUCAUUAAUAAGUUAAUGCAUAUGUUAAAAGCCUUUGUAUUACUAAUACAUAGAAAAUGAAGUGUAUUACUAGUACACACUUCAAUACAUAAUAGAGUGUAGGCAAAAAGGCGUACCAAAGAAGGUACGAAUAGUACACAUUAACUAAGGCAUGCAUUAUAUUUUUCAAUACACUCUACCAAACGACCCCUUAGUGCGAUGACACUUUUGUCUGGGGCAUGUGCAUAAAUAUUUGUUUUUGAAAUCGUCAUUUAAUUUGCAAUCGAGGUUCAUAAAUAAAUUCCAAACUUGUCCAUUUCGGAUUAAACUUGAGACAUCUACAACUGAAGUUAUGAAAAUUCUAGUCUAAGUUUGCAAACUUCUGACAAGUUUAAUUAGAUUGAAGCUAUUAAAGAUCAUUUGAAGGGAUUUUAGCAUUUCAAAAAAGGUUUGCUUACCGAUUAUAAAGCAAGCAAAACUUUAACUUCUUAAAUACCCAAUGUCAUGAUUUGAAACUGACAUUAGCUGGCUUUCAAAUGCCUGGUGCAUUGUGGGACGAGCGAAUACUAGAUCAUAUAUGAUGUUUUGAACUGUUAUUGUGAAUACUAGUACCUUAUAUUGUUAAUAUAAAGAGAAGGUGAGAAAAAAGAUUCUUAAAGCAUUUUAACUUACCUUGUUGUCCCUAGGAGAUGUGCCAAUGUGCCAAGAGUUUCGAUGUUGCACUUCAAAAUGUCUUCUUAAUGACAAGCAAGUUUGCCAAUACUGCAAUGAACAAGAUCAUUGUGUAUGGUUAUGAGAAUCUCGUCUUUAUAAUUGAAUGGAUUGUGUUCCUGAAUCAAUAGCAAUGACAAUGGGUCGGAUUGAAAAUGACAAAUUAUGUCAAAUGAAGCAGGUUGAAAUCUUCACAGAUUUAUGCAAAUUUGCCCCUUCCCACCCCUUUUCCAUCCCUAAAAUCAUCCUUAUUUUUUAUUUUUUCUUGCUUUAAUCUUAUUUUGAAAAACCACUAGUACCAUUCCUUUUGCUUUAUGCCCAGGGUACUAUUUUUCUUUGUUUAUCAUUGAAUUGAAAUCAUUUCCAUCCUGAAAAAUAACCUGUCUAGAUAAUCAGCACCUGAUUCGAUUUUCUUCGUAUAAUAAACCACACAAAUCCUGUGUUCGGUGAAAGUGUUUAAAUAUAAUUCCUUUAAGCUUUCUCUCUCCCUAUUUAUGAAGUUCAUGAUUUUUUGGCUCAAAUUCACCAAAAAACUCAGCCGACUCAGUCGGUGAAGACCAUAGAAAAAAAUAGCUAUUUCUGUAGGAGCGCCACCCACUGCCACCAUAAUUUCAUUUUAGUCCCAAUAAUCAAUAACAUACUUAACUUUUGAUACACAAUAAGAAUACCAAUAAAAUGCUUGAUUUUAGUCUUUAAUUAUCAAGAUUUUUGACGAAUUUUUAUAAUUUUACAGAUCUAAAAAUUUUAGUUGUUUUAUCGACAACCAUGAUGUUACCAGCACUGACAACUUCUAUACUCUAUUGACAUCUUGCAGCAGGAGAAUGAAGAGGAGGGUAGAUUUGAGUAUACUAGAAUUUGAAAAUUUUGGCAUUAUUGUGUAUCAAUUUUGAAGCUCGUUGAAUAGUUAUUGAUGAAAAAAAAAAGAGUAUACCAAAAUUGGCGGUGUUAUUGCCAUUGCUAUUAAUAAUAGAGAUUUCGAUUGAAGAAUUCAAAACUCAGUUUAAUUUAUUUUUUUUCAAUUUAUAGAUAAUAGUAAAGGCACUAAGUUGCAUUUUGAUUUUUUUGUUGGUGAAGGGGUUUAGAACAGGAACAUAUUUGCCCCUAAUUCAUAAUUUGGGUCUGCCCUGUUCAACUUUUUUCUUCAAUUUAUCAAAAAUUGAAAAAGAAAAAAGAGUAGAGAGGAAGAUAUGAUAUGGUGGAAGAGGAAGAGAUGAGGAAGAAAGAAAAGUGUUUUAAUAUUUUUAAAAAAGAUAAUAUUACCAAAAAAAAGUUAAAAAAAUAAAUAAAAAACGACAUUAUACACGUGUUAAGUGCGUGCAUAUCACAUUCCACAUAAAAUCUGACUUUAUCUUAGGAGGAAAGUAUUAAUUUCACUUUAAAUAAAAUUAAGGGUGUAGUAAGUCGUCAUAUUAAUUAGGGUGUGUCUUCGACUUUUUGAAUAUAGUUUAGAAUGAAAAUGAUACUUUUUUCUAUUUUUUUUUUUGGAAAAAAAUCACACCAACAUUUUCCAUUAUAACACACCCAAAGUGUCAUCCGUUAGAUGUCUACAUCAAAAUCGUCAUGAAGCAUGAAAAUGUUGUUAUUUUAAGAAGUCAUUUCAUAGUAGAAGAAUUCUUCAACUUGUCUAUUUCAUCAAAUACGUUGCCAAACACGUGUUUAUUAUAGUUAACAAAUUGGGAAAUUAACUGGUAAAAAUAUUCAUGAAAAUAAUUCACGUACAGUACUACACGGAAAUUUCUUGGUCUUGGAUAGAAGGGUUCAUACAGAUAGAAAAUACAUAGGGUCAUAAUUCAUAACAAAAUAAAAAGAGUAAAGUAAUUAAAUACAAUAGUACAUAUUAUUAAAAAGCUACUAUUAGUAAGCACCCUCUCCGUUUACUUUGGCGGAAUAGCUUGAAAGGUCGUUGUAUUUAUAUUCAUUUGUCAGCUAGACCCUCCUUACAUAUGCUUGUCCCUUUAUCAACUGAACGCUUCAACAAAUAUAAGUAUAUAAAUAAAUUUGUCAAGUUAUUUCAGCUUUUAUUUUACUUGAUCUUUAUUUAUAAUUUCUAAUCUAUAAUUUAUAUCUAUAAUAUAUUAAAAGUGUAAAGACUAAUUCAAACUUUUUAUCCUUCAUUAAAAGUCUCCUCAAUAGACAAAAUCGUCAUUUCAUUAUUUUUCCUCAAAUUAUUUUUAAUUUUAUUAGGUUAAUUAAUUUAAUUUAUGAGUCCUUUUAAAUGUAGGAUUUAUUAGGAAUAGAAUUAGUUUAGAUAUAAAAUUUAUGUAAUAUUCUUCAAUUUAGGUAAAUCUAUUUUCCUUUUCUAUUUUAACAAGGAUGUGGUAAAGACGUAUUAGAUUUUUCUUCUUUUUUUNNNNNNNNNNNNNNNNNNNNNNNNNNNNNNNNNNNNNNNNUAAUUAGUUAGUUUUUUUUUGGGGGAGGGGGGGAGGGGGGCUGGGGUUUCUUUUACUUACUUUAUAACAUUAAUUCCUUCCGUAAUUAGUUGAAUUUUUUUUCUUUGUUUUGUUUAUUAUAGGUUCUUUUACUUAUUUUAUUAUUUGCUUUUAUAUUUUAAUAUGAAUGUAUUUUUUUAUUUUAGCAAUCGACUUCCAAUUAUGGUAUUCUAUUUUGGAAUGAAUUCUAUAUAUGAUGCAAUUUAUAUAUGUCCUUUUUCAUAAAUUUUUGCAAUAUAUUGUUUAAAUUUUGUUUGUAUUUAUUUUUGGUUCUUAAUGUAUGUACUUUGCAUACAAAUUUGUAAUUUAAUUAUAUUGUAAAGAUUAUGUUUAAUCGUAUUGUUCUGAUAAUACGAUCAUAUUAUAUGUUUUCUUAUGUUGUCAUCUGAUGCUUUUUUUUUUUAUGUUUAAUACAGGUGGUAGAUAGAAUAUUUGGUUGGGCUUUGGCAAAAUUUUAAUGUAAAGGCAAAGUUUAAUCGUGUGAAUAUUAUAAUUCAAAAAAUACCUCCUAAUUGAGUCAUUGUAUAAAAAUAAUGGCAAAAAAAGGUUGAUUGUAUGUUAGUGUAUAUCCUUAAUGAAUUCAACAAAUUGAUGCGACGGUUUGAUGGAUAACUUGUGUCUAUUAUAGGUUCGGCUAACACUCUGUCUUUAUAUACCGUUGAUGAAUUCAACCAUUUAACAUUUCUUAUUUGAAUUGAGUUAUAGUGUUAUAUGAAUUUGACCAAUUUUUAGUUUCUCACGUUUUUUUUUUACUUGUGCAUAUUUUCGUGCAUUCAAAAAUAAUUCCAUCCACUUUGGUUUAAGAAUAUUUUUUUGUUGUCAUUUUGUUCAUUUAUUGUUUUGAAAGUAUAAUUAUAUAUAUGCAACAAUCAAAGUAGCUAAUUUAUCCUCUCUCUAUAUAUAAUUGACUAACGUGAUAUACACGUGCGGAACCCGUACACUUGACUAGUAUAUAUAUAUGUGUGUUACUUAUCAAUUUUAGCAAAUCAAGAUAGUUUAUUAUUUAUUUAUUUUAAUAUUUUUAGUAUUAAAUAACUAUAUAAAGUAGUAAUUGUUGUAUUUAGAGCUGCAAAGUAUCAUUAAUAAGAUUAAUUUGAUAAAAAUAUAUUCCUAAUACUGCCUCCAUUCAUAAUUAUUUAUCACUUAUUUUAAUUAUAUUUUCACUUUUACUUAUUAUUUUUGACAUAUCAGGAAAAAAUUAUUUUUUUUAUUUGAUUUUAAUAUUAAUUAUUUAUUCUCUAAAUUAUUUUUAAAAUAAAAUAAUAUCCAUCAAUUAAUAUAAAUACUGUGGUAGAAAAUAAUUACUUUUAUAAAUAUAUCAAAUUAAAAUAUGACAAAAUAAAAAUAAAUGAAGAAAAUAAAAAUUUUCUUAAAUAAUGAUUCAGGUCAUUGGGGUCAAGCACUAUAAAGCAUAGGGGUAUUAAACCUAGUACUCAAGUCAUUGCUUCUUUGUAGUCGUUUGACCAUAAGAGGUUUUUACUUUUUUUUUGGAAAAAUUAUUUCACUUUAAUGAAAAUAGUAAAAAUUGUAAGUGUUUGUCCAUGAGAAUCUCAAAUAUAAUUGUGAAAUUGUACUUGAAAAAGUGAAAAUAAGUUUUACUUGUUUUUAUUUUUUUCACUCAUACUUCUCUCAUAAAAUUUUAAAAAUAACCUUAAUUUAUAUUAAUGCGAGACAUAACUUCAAAUUCAAUUUUAACUCCAACUCAACAAAUUAUAAUUGAAUUCAUGGCCAAACGGGGCCUUAUUUAAGACGAUUCCUUUUGCUAACGACAAAGAUAACAAUCUCAAGUUCCUUCCCUAGAAAGUCACAAGACAAGAUUUGGAGCAAAAAGUCAAAUCCAAAAAAAAAAGUACGUACACAUCAUAAUUAUUGAGGAAUGAGAGGGAUGGAUUGAAUUUCUUUUAUAAUUUUCUUUAGUAGGGAAUAUUUUAACUAGCUAUGUGUGCCUAUAUAUAUUUAUAUCCAAUGCAAACGCAAAUUUGUAGGAUUAAGUAGGCGUUAUGGACAUAUAAUUUUAUUUGAGAAAUUUAAAAUUAUUAGAUGAAAUCAGUGUUGGGUAUGUAAUUUUAUAUUAUGAGAUAAAAACUUAAAUUUUUUAAAAAAUUUAAUUUGAAAUAUCACAUCAUAAUUUGAGAUUUUUUACAAUAAAAAAAUUGAUCCAUGGGUUUAUAUUUUAUAAGAGAAAAACCCAUCACUUAUAUCUACCAAUCAUUUAUUUUAUCUGUAAAUAAACUUUAUAGUUCAUAUUAUUACUUUUUAUACUAUUUGUAUCUCAUAUAACCAUUACACUCACUAACAUAUAAAAUUUAUUAUUAUUUCAACCCAACUCCUACAUUAUCAUUAUUAUUCAUUAAAUUCAUUAUUAUUGACCAACAAACAGUUUAAAGUAACAAAGUUAGUUUAUUUUUUUGAUUAUUCGAUCGAGAAGUGCAAGCUCAAUAUAAAGAGAUUGUUUGUAUUAUGUGAGAAGAUAAUGGUAAAGAGUAAUAUACUACAAUUCAUAUUCCGUUUUACCUUUUUUUCAUUGAAUUAACUUGUGUGAUUAGUAAAUAUUGUAUUUUUAGAAUAUUUUUUGUAGGGUAUCAUACAUACUUUCGUCAUAAAUUUUUGCUUAUUUGACAAAAUUGUAUAUAGAAUUGGGGCCAAUUUUAAUAAUUUUAACCACUUAAGGGAAUUUCAUGUUUAUAAAAAAAUAUACAAUAUCAAAAAUUUAAAUUAUGUGUCUAAAUAAAACUUUAACUUCAUCUCAUGAUUUCAAAUCGUGAAUUCAUCUAGUACAAUCAAACGAGCCCCAAGUGAAUUUUAAAAGCUGGAUAAUUAUUAAAUUAACAAAAACGCCACUAAAUUAAUGGACGCCAGGAGUACUGAUUAUUCACUAGUGAAGAACAACGAAUUAAUAAUGUCAAAAUGCAUACCCUAGAAAGUCAACAUGAUCAUGUUACAUACUUCCUAAGUAAAUAAUUAUUUGUCUCAAAUUGAGAUGACACAUUAAUUAAGAAAAAUAAUUAAUAACAUGCCUAGUUUACCGUUGUACCCCUAUUAAAUGAUGUUUUACAUUUUAAUUUGAAAAAAAAAGUAAUUAAUGCAAAGGUUAAACAUGAAAAAAAAUUAUUUCUUCUUGAUUAAUGAAAAAAGACAAGUAAAAUGAAAAAUUAAAUUAAAAAAUUUAGACGAAGGGAGUAUAAAUUUUCUAAAAAAUAAAAAAAUGGGGCAGGAAAUUAUAAAAUAAAAAAUCAAAUUCGCACCAACAAAAUAAAAAUUCAAAUAAUCAACUAAUUAAGCUACUAAAAUCUUCCACCAUUAUCAUAUGACCCUGUUUUUUGGGUCAAAAAUUGUUUGGUGUUAAAGUACAAAUUUGGAAACCAAUUUAAGAACUAAUUUGUGAAAUUUUCGGCACUUAACUAACUGAUGAUUUGACAUUUUAGUUCACGAGGUCCCACGAGGAUUUGAUUAAUCUCAACACGAAAAAUAUAUUUUAUCCAAUCACUAUAUAUAUAUAUAUAUAUAUAUAUAUAUAUGAGGGAUAGAACCAGGGUUGAGGGGCCUUAUUCAAAUUUCAAACAUCUUUCAACUGAAAAUUAUGCUAUGUUUAUACAACUUUAAGUUAAAUUUAAUUUUUUACUAUCUAAUUUUCAAAUAAAAUGAAAAAUUAUUUGAAGAAAAAGUGCAUACGAGUACUAAUUUUAUAGCCGAAUACUGUUCUUUUAAGUACCACUAGUUAUACUGCACAAUUACAAAAUAUAAAUCUCUUAAAAAGCUCAAUGACAUUCUUAUCUCAUAUAGUGUCAAUGUGUGAGUCCGAAGCUUCAAGGAUAAUUUUUUUCAUCAAAAAUUUCAAGAAGACAAUUAAAAUUUGAAACAAACUAAAAGGGCAAAAGCUUGGGACAACCCACGUCUUAGUGCAUCCUUAUGUCAUUUGCGAGCUUUUUUUUUAAAUUAUUUUUCUUUAUCAAGGCGUGGGUUAUCCCAUGGUUUUGUCCAUUUGAUUUUUUUUCAAAUUUUAACUGUCCCUUCAAAAUUUUUGGUGGAAAAAAGUUAUUCUUUCGACUCCGGAUUCGUCAUGUGUGAUGUAACAUUCGAUAGAUGUCCACAUCAAAAUUGUCAUAAAGCUGUUAUUUUACGAAGUCAUUUCAUAGUGGAGGAAAUUCUCCAACUUUCCUACUUCAUCAAGUACGUUGUCAAACACCUCUUUAUUUUAGUUAACAUAUUAGGUACCAAUAAUUGCUUAUAUAGGCCAUAUAAAUAUUCAGUAAAAAGAAUUCACGAAGUGUUCAUACAGCUGCAAAUACAUAGCCAAAGUUAUUUAAAAAUAUUUUUUUUUUUCUAAAAUAGGUCAUAAGUUCAUAUGAUUUGGAGCAAACACAUUAUCAAGGAGUGUGGUGGGAUGAUUGAAUUUCUUUUAUAAACAAUAUUUAAUGAAUCAAUUUUGUCUUAGGAAAUAGUCAUUAUAUAGAAUUUUAAAUUUUGCAUGUGAAAUUUUAAAAUAUUAUAAGGAAACUUGAAAAUUUUAUAUGAAAUUUCACCUGUAGAAUUUUUAGAAUUUAAUGUUAGCGACUAUUUUCUAAUUACGGUUAUUAAGAAGUCCCUAUUUGUAAUUUUCCGCCAUAUUCCAUCAAACAUAUAUAUAUAUAAAUAUGUCUGUUUUUUUUUUCUAUAUUAAAGUCCUGGGGGAUUGCUUUAAAGUGUUCAAUGAGAAGUCGAUUAAUCGAAAAAUUUAAAAAAUCGACCGAAAUGUUUUUUUAUGCGAUGUAAUAGUUGAAGAAAAGUGACCAUUUUAUAACAAAUUAUAAAAUAAUAAUUUUACUAUAUAAUUUACCAUUAUUGAGUGGAUAUUUGAAACAAUCAACUUCUUUUAGUUUCAUAGGAAUUUAUUUCCAUUAUCUUAUGCCAUAGUUAUUCCACCACUUGAAGAUGUGUUUCAUAUCUUGAAGAUAACAUAAUUAAUUAACAAAUCAUCAGUAUCAUCGCCAUCAUAUUAAAAUAUGUAAAUCAUUUAAAAUCAAAUAUAUAUUGGAAGGAUCUUCCCAAUUUUAUUGGUCACACCUCAUUGUCAAUGUCAAUUAAGGUUUAUAGAUUAAUUUACAAUUUUUGACAAUCUUAUUCCAAAAUGACCUAAUUAUAUGAUCUCGUACUUUUCAGUUCUAAAGUAUUCGAUUAAAGAACUUUGCAGUCUGCAGAAGAGAUUGAAAAACAUUUAUUUAUUUAUUUGUAAAAACUGUUUUUCAACCAAACACAAAGUUAGUUUAAAAUUUUUAUAUCUUGGUGUUUAAUUGGUUGAAAUAUAGUUCUUGCAAGUAAAAAUUGUUGCAAGGCAUUUCAAGUAAAUGAAAAUUUGGUUAACAAGUCCAAACUUUCUAUUUAUUUCAUGAUCAAUUAAUAACACGCGAGAAAUUUUACGAAUCACGCAUUAAUACUUUUUACUUUGUAUUAAAAUCCUAAUUCUCAUAAAACUUUGAGGAAAAAGAGAGAGAGGAAAAAACCAUUCUUCUUUGUUUACAAUACAAAUUAUAAGUCUUCACUGGAAAAUAUUGCUCAAAGGGAUUAUCAUCAUCAUUCAAAAAAAAAAAGGGGACGAGGUGUUGUUUCUCCUAUCAUUUGGUAUUUGGUUAGAAUUAUGCGGGUAUUAGUAAUAUAUAAAUUAGUUAUGAAUGAAUUUAUAUACUAUUAUUUUAAUAAGGGUUCGAAUAUUCACGUAUAAGUUAUACCUGUAGAUGUUAUUUCACCUUUGAUCCUAUAAAGUAAUACAAAAAUUUUCUCAUAACUUAUUCUAUUAUGUAGGUUUCUAAGUUACUAAUCAAAUAUCAUAUUUAAUUAAUACAUGAAUAACUUAUAUGAUCCUAACGAGUUAUCAAAUGUAUGAUAUUAUUUAUGUAACAUUUAAUAUUUGUAUAACUCACCUCCAAAUCAGCUAUCAAAAAGAAUAAUUUACUCAAAAUAGCAAUUCAAAACUAUAAUUUCCUAUUACAACUAAUUAUUUUUCACAUGUUAGCUAUUUUUAUAAUAAAAACUAAUUAGUUGAUUUUCACAUGUACUCAACUUUAAUUUGAUUAAUAAUUGAUUAAAAAAAAAUUAAUUAGUUGAAGCAAUGAUCUUAUGAGCUGUAGUCCAUGGAUACUUCUUUGUUUGUACUGUUGUAUCAAAAAUACCCUUUUUCUUAUUUUUCGUAGAGGACAAUAUGCAUUUCGAACUUCUAUAAAUUAUUUAUUUGUCUUGUGCUUGUUUCAGUAUCUGUACGAUCUAGAUGUCCAAUGGACCCCCUCCCCCAUUCCUACUCAAUUAUUCAAAUUUUACCAAUUUGCAUUAUGAUAGUAGUUGUAUAGUUGAAAUUUUCUAUUGUAGAUGUAUUUUCGAUUCUUUACUCUCUUUUCUUUAAUUCCUAACGUAAUAAAAUAAUUCUAUAAAAGACCAUGUGGAUUUUAAUGUUUUACAUGACUUUAUUUCCUAAUGUAUACCCCCCUUCCACCCCCUCUACUUUUUAAAGUUACUAGAUGAGUUUUGGUUGUACUUAGUACGGGCCCAACAUGAUAACUUAGUUUCAAUAAAUUUUUCUCAAUAAUUUAUUGUGAAAGAAACAACAUUUUUCUAAUCGAACACCGUGCUCCAAAUUUAAAGUAUUAGGUAUAAAACUUUAUAGCUUAAUUGAAACUGAGAUAAAUAAAAAUGAAGCAUAACUACAGCUGAAGUACAUUAGACACACACUUUCAUUUUGAAGAGCCUUUUAUGAAAUAUUUUUUAUUCUCAGAGUAUACAUGUUCAUUCUAUAUAGGUUUACAAUUUUUUGACUUGUGAAGGAAGUGGAGCAACUGGAUAAAAAAUGGGAAAAGGACAUUGUUGUAUUGCAAGGUCGGACCUAAGCUGAUUGUCUUUUUUGUAAACUUGCAUAAUAUAAAUUUGACCUUUCAUCCAAUAACAUCUUAGCUUUUAGCACAAGUGAAUUCAAUGAUAAAGAAAAAGCGACUUAAUUAUUGAACAUUUGCUUCAACAACAGUAAGUAUGUCUAUAAAAAAGGGUGCUUUUCAUGUUGUACAUACUAUGAGGCAACAAUGAAAUCAAAAUCAAAAUGGAAAAGCUUCAACAAUAAUAUUUACAAUAAAUAAUAAUAGAAGGGAGAGUCGAUUAACUUUUCACAGUGCUUUCUAAAUUAGCUUAAGUUAAUGAAAAAGUACAAACACAAUAAAUUAUUAAAUCUUUAUUUUAGUAGGUUCAAUAAUUAAUAUCAGUUCAAGCUGCAUUGUGACCACAUUACAAUCAUUCCAUUGUGUAAUCGUACUUAUGAAAAACUACAGAAUCUCAGAAUAAGAAUAUUUAAGUUUCAUUUGAAAUGAAGGGAUAAUCUGAAACACUUAUGGUCCUUUGUUAUUUGUAUUAUCAUUUAUCAAUGUAGUGCCAAUAUGUUAGUUUGUGUAAUUAUACUUAAUUAUUAUUGAAAAUAUAACAACACUACCAAUUUUGUCAAAUCUGUAAUUUGAUAACUAAAGAAAAGGAAUGAUUACAAUUAUAUAGAUUAGAUCAAAGAAAAAUAAAUUAACCGAUAAAGCUAUUAUAUCUGAGUAUUGAAAAACAUAAUUGUUCAAUUUUGCAGACAUAGAUUAAAAUAUAUCAAGAGAGGAUAUAACACAAAUGAUCUUCUGAAAAGGUGCAAAGGUAUGUUGAUAAUGAAUUCAUUUACAUUAUAAUGAAUUUAUAUUUUUUGUUAUACAUCUUUUCAGAGGUUAGUGUCAUAAGCUAUGAUAGUCUAGGGAUGAUGUAUAUUUUAGAUUUUAGAGCUGUAAAAUAAUAGAUUUUUUUAAAGUUAAACCUCAACCUUUCUCUAUAAAUUUUCAUUAAAAUGAAUAAAGGACUAUCAAGUCAUGAGAAAUAAGAAAAGAUACAUAUUUAGUGCCAUCAAUUCAAGUGUGAAUAAAAGCUCGCCGCUUUCAUAAAACUUUCGAUACAUUUCACUUAUAAAAUUGUUAUGUAGCCAUAUAAAUUCAAGGUAUGAUGAAGUAGUACAACACCACAAAAAUAACGCUGGACAGUUAACAUAGUUAUCUAUCAAGAAAAAGUAUAAGGUGAGCAAAAAACUAAGUCACAAGAAGUAUUGAAACUGUUAAUUAUCAAAUGUGAACAAGCGAAUUGUAAAUACAUAUGUUACCUAUGGGAGAUUUACAAGAGAGACAAUAUUUAUUUUCAAGAAUCCAGCUUUAACAAUUUUCUUGAGGAAAUGUACACCAAUAGCAGAUAACGCUACAAAGAUUAAUGAGAGACAAAGCUUAUAUUAUGUUCCAUCCCAUUUAACCUGCACAACACGAAAAUUAAAUGCAUCAAUGAUUGCCUAUUUAAGGUACUACAAUGUUAACAAUAUAUAACAGACCAAGACACAAUAAAAGAAAGCACACCUAUCAGUAACUCAUACCUCCAAGAAAAUAAUUAAUAAUAAGCUAAACAUAUAUUCUGAAUUAAAUUGAUUACUGGUGUCAAAUAAACACUAAGAAAAGAUAUAAACAUUUUUUUUCUAUGUAUUCAAUUCAGCUCAGUCAGUUACAGUAAUAAAGAUAAAGUUUAUAAAAUAUAAAAAUAAGAACGAUGUUUAGGAAAAUUUAUAGAAUUAAUGUACUACUUGGAUUGCUAAAUCAAAAAUUGCCCUUUCUAUUUUGCCCUUUCUCAAACAUACUUGAAUAUAAACUCAGAAAAAAUAGGAAGAACUUUAAAAAGGGAUCACAAAUAUUAAGAUAUUGACAAUAUCAUUCAACUUUAUAUUGGAUAAGAUAAAGUUCUAUUGGAUCAGUCUUAAUCCCUCGAGAUGGAGGGGCCAUAAGGAUGAAAAAAUUCUCCAUCAAACAGAGUAUACUACUCUUGCCAUAAAAUCAUGAUUUAACAAAACUCGAGCUUUGAAAGGAGAUUCUUUUAAGAAAUUCAUCAAACAUUGUGUCACAAGCUUCAAGUACUAUCACUCGUAUGCUAUUAAACAUAAUUUCAUUGGAAGUGAUUUUCUGAUAAUAAAGACUCAUUUAGUACAAGGAAUAAGGAAUGACUAAUUUCAAGAUUAAUCUUAGGAUGAACUAAUCCUUGUUUGGUUGAAAUAAAAUACAUAAAAAAAUUAUUUUAAAUUAGCUAUCGAUGAUUGUAAUAUUAUUUUUCAUCCCAAAAUAACAUAUUUCUCACCAAACGAUCCUAAGAGUUAAAAGAAAUUCAACAAAAAAAAAAGGUAAGAAGACCAAAUGUAAAGGAAACAAAAUUAAAAUUCAAAUAUAAGUUUAAACCAAUAUCUUAGACCAUAUUAUAGCAAAAAGUAUAUUUACAUGUCCCGCUUAUGAAGACAGAGAACAUGCAACAAAAAAGGAACAAAAAGACCAAAAGAAAACCCAAAAUAAUUAAAUAACAUUAGCAAUAGCAAAACAGAAUAACAGAAAAAACAAAUAAAACCAAAACCAACAGGCAUUAACCUAAACAUUGUUAUAUCAAAAGUAUUAUGGGGAGACUAAAGAGAGAAAUUAACACUGGGAGGAAAGAAGAGCAGAAGAGAGAAAAGAAAGAAAGAAUAAUUCGAAAGGUUAUGAGUCACUGACAGAGAGGAAAUAGAUUGAAGAGUAGCAAUUGAAAUUACUUUCUUGAAAGUUGAAGGACAAUUGAAGAUUAUUCUGGUUAGAAUAUGUAGUUGUUUC
rnacentral:lncRNA from 1 species